rnacentral:rRNA from 1 species
CAGUAGCCGCGGGAAUGCGUAGGUGGCAAGCGUUGUCCGGAAUUAUUGGGCGUAAAGGGCUCGCAGGCGGUUUCUUAAGUCUGAUGUGAAAGCCCCCGGCUCAACCGGGGAGGGUCAUUGGAAACUGGGAAACUUGAGUGCAGAAGAGGAGAGUGGAAUCCCACGUGUAGCGGUGAAAUGCGUAGAGAUGUGGAGGAACACCAGUGGCGAAGGCGACUCUCUGGUCUGUAACUGACGCUGAGGAGCGAAAGCGUGGGGAGCGAACAGGAUUAGAUACCCGUGUAGUCCCUGUCUCUUAUAC